CCAAAUAUGGACAAAUGUUCCUUCACUUAUUCCACACCUCCAUCAUAAAGCGGAAUGAUUAGAAUCUAUUUUAUGCAUUCUAGUAGGGACAAAAUGCCAUCUAUGCAUUAUUUUAUAGAGUUAAAUAAUUCUUGGAUAUUUAAACAGUGUGUAACUUUCCCAACCAGUGUCCAACUUUUCCCCAUGUACUAAUAUCUUUCUCUAUACCUAGAUCUUUAGACCAAGCGGUUUGCGAUAUCACUUUCUUUUUGUUUUCCAUAGUUUUAAGAAAAUAUUGAGCUUUUUAAAAAAUAUUUUUGUUGGAAUGUGUAACAAAGAUAUUCUCUAGUGUUUCCAAAACCUUUGGCUUUCGUGUAGUUAUAAGAUGUGCUUUUAUAUAUUUUUUAAUACGAAUCAAAUUAAAUUAAUCCUGAGAAGGUAUAGCAAGUUUCAUUAUUAAUUGUUCAUAGGUUUUAAGCUGCAAACCUUCUAAGAAAUCUGCCAUCUUUAAAUUUUUAUUGUUAAGCCAUUUCAACUUAG